UACGGAGGGUGCGAGCGUUGUCCGGAAUCACUGGGCGUAAAGGGCGCGUAGGCGGCGCGGGGAGUCAACGGUGAAAGCUCGGCGCUCAACGCCGAGUCGGCCGUCGAUACUCCCGUGCUUGAGCACUGUAGAGGCAGGUGGAACUCCGGGUGUAGCGGUGGAAUGCGUAGAGAUCCGGAAGAACACCGGUGGCGAAGGCGGCCUGCUGGGCAGUAGCUGACGCUGAGGCGCGACAGCGUGGGGAUCAAACAGG
rnacentral:rRNA from 1 species